UCUUACCUGCCCAGUGACUACAAGUUAAACGGCCGCGGUAUUUUGACCGUGCAAAGGUAGCGCAAUCACUUGUCUUUUAAAUGAAGACCCGUAUGAAUGGUGAAACGAGGGCUUAACUGUCUCCCUUUUCUAGUCAAUGAAAUUGAUCUACCCGUGCAGAAGCGGGUCUAACGAUACAAGACGAGAAGACCCUUUGGAGCUUAAGAUAAAAGACCAACUAUGUUAAUAAUCGAAUAAAGACUAAACCAAAUAGCCCUGGUCCAUAUCUUCGGUUGGGGCGACCACGGGAGAAAAUAAAGCUCCCAUGAGGAUAGGGAACAACCCUAAAGCCAAGAAAGACAUUUCUAAGACGCAGAACAUCUGACCAAUUUGAUCCGGCAUCCCGCCGACCAACGAACCAAGUUACCCUAGGGAUAACAGCGCAAUCCCCUUUCAGAGUCCAUAUCGACAAGGGGGUUUACGACCUCGAUGUUGGAUCAGGACAUCCUAAUGGUGCAGCCG
rnacentral:rRNA from 1 species